rnacentral:rRNA from 1 species
AUUGAACGCUGGCGGCAGGCCUAACACAUGCAAGUCGAACGGUAACAGGAAGCAGCUUGCUGCUUUGCUGACGAGUGGCGGACGGGUGAGUAAUGUCUGGGAAACUGCCUGAUGGAGGGGGAUAACUACUGGAAACGGUAGCUAAUACCGCAUAACGUCGCAAGACCAAAGAGGGGGACCUUCGGGCCUCUUGCCAUCGGAUGUGCCCAGAUGGGAUUAGCUAGUAGGUGGGGUAACGGCUCACCUGGGCGACGAUCCCUAGCUGGUCUGAGAGGAUGACCAGCCACACUGGAACUGAGACACGGACCAGACUCCUACGGGAGGCAGCAGUGGGGAAUAUUGCACAAUGGGCGCAAGCCUGAUGCAGCCAUGCCGCGUGUAUGAAGAAGGCCUUCGGGUUGUAAAGUACUUUCAGCGGGGAGGAAGGGAGUAAAGUUAAUACCUUUGCUCAUUGACGUUACCCGCAGAAGAAGCACCGGCUAACUCCGUG